CAUUCCGAGGAGCGCUGCGAGAGAAAAACUCCCAGGCUCGGAAAAUGUUUUAACGGCGCUCACCAUAU
rnacentral:ncRNA from 2 species